rnacentral:rRNA from 1 species
UGGGGAAUAUUGGACAAUGGGCGCAAGCCUGAUCCAGCCAUGCCGCGUGUGUGAAGAAGGCCUUCGGGUUGUAAAGCACUUUUGUCCGGAAAGAAAAGCUCUCGGUUAAUAGUCGAGGGUCCUGACGGUACCGGAAGAAUAAGCACCGGCUAACUUCGUGCCAGCAGCCGCGGUAAUACGAAGGGUGCAAGCGUUACUCGGAAUUACUGGGCGUAAAGCGUGCGUAGGUGGUUUGUUAAGUCUGAUGUGAAAGCCCUGGGCUCAACCUGGGAAUUGCAUUGGAUACUGGCAGGCUAGAGUGCGGUAGAGGAUGGCGGAAUUCCCGGUGUAGCAGUGAAAUGCGUAGAGAUCGGGAGGAACAUCUGUGGCGAAGGCGGCCAUCUGGACCAGCACUGACACUGAGGCACGAAAGCGUGGGGAGCAAACAG